ACCGGUGUGGCUCAGUGGAUAGAGCGUUGGCUUGAGGACCCAAGGGUCCUGGGUUUAAUUCCGGUCAAGGGUA
rfam:Myotis davidii contig158347, whole genome shotgun sequence.